rnacentral:rRNA from 1 species
CCUACGGGUGGCAGCAGUGAGGAAUAUUGGUCAAUGGGAGAGAUCCUGAACCAGCCAAGCCGCGUGAGGGAAGACGGCCCUAUGGGUUGUAAACCUCUUUUGUCGGAGAACAAAACCCGGGACGUGUCCCGGACUGCGUGUAUCCGAAGAAAAAGCAUCGGCUAACUCCGUGCCAGCAGCCGCGGUAAUACGGAGGAUGCGAGCGUUAUCCGGAUUUAUUGGGUUUAAAGGGUGCGUAGGCGGUCGGUUAAGUCAGUGGGAAAAUUGCGGGGCUCAACCCAGUAGAGCCGUUGAUACUGGCAGACUUGAGUGGGCGAGAGGUAGGCGGAAUUCGUGGUGUAGCGGUGAAAUGCAUAGAUAUCGCGAAGAACUCCGAUUGCGAAGGCAGCGUACCGGAGCCAAACUGACGCUGAGGCACGAAAGCGUGGGGAUCGAACAGGAUUAGAUACCCGAGUAGUC